rnacentral:rRNA from 1 species
UACGUAGGGACCAAGCGUUGUCCGGAAUCAUUGGGCGUAAAGAGCGUGUAGGCGGCUUGUUAAGUCUUGCGUGAAAUCUCGGGGCUCAACCCCGAGCGGUCGUGAGAAACUGGCAGGCUAGAGUGCGGGAGAGGAGAGUGGAAUUCCGUGGUGUAGCGGUGAAAUGCGCAGAUAUCAGGAGGAACACCGGUGGCGAAGGCGGGUCUCUGGGCCGAUAUUGACGCUGAGGAGCGGAAAGCGUGGGGAGCGAACAGG